rnacentral:rRNA from 1 species
ACUGCUCAGUAACACGUGGUUAACCUGCCCUAAGGUGGAGAAUACUCCCGGGAAACUGGGGCUAAUGCUCCAUAGUGGAUAUGUCCUGGAAUGGUAUAUCCUCGAAAGAUCCGUCGCCUUAGGAUGGGACUGCGUCCGAUUAGGUUGUUGGCGGGGUAACGGCCCACCAAGCCAUUGAUCGGUACGGGUUGUGGGAGCAAGAUCCCGGAGAUGGAUUCUGAGACAUGAAUCCAGGCCCUACGGGGCGCAGCAGGCGCGCAAACUUUACAAUGCGAGCAAUCGUGAUAAGGAAACCCUGAGUGCCUGUCGAUGCAGGCUGUUCAUAUAUCUAAAUCAUAUGUGAAGAAAGGGCAGGGCAAGACCGGUGCCAGCCGCCGCGGUAAUACCGGCUGCUCGAGUGAUGGCCACUAUUACUGGGUUUAAAGCGUCCGUAGCUUGACUGUUAGGUCUCUUGGGAAAUCUUCACGCUCAACGUGAAGGCGUCUAAGAGAUACCGGCAGUCUUGGAACUGGGAGAGGUAAACCGUACUUCGGGGGUAGGAGUGAAAUCUUGUAAUCCUCGAGGGACGACCUAUGGCGAAGGCAGUUUACCAGAACAGCUUCGACAGUGAGGGACGAAAGCUGGGGGAGCAAACGGGAUUAGAUACCCCGGUAGUCCCAGCCGUAAACAAUGUGCGUUAGGUGUGUCGGUAACCACGUGUUACUGAUGCGCCGAAGAGAAAUCGUGAAACGCACCACCUGGGAAGUACGGUCGCAAGGCUGAAACUUAAAAGAAUUGGCGGGGGAGCAC